UACGGGGGGGGCAAGCGUUGUUCGGAAUUACUGGGCGUAAAGGGCUCGUAGGCGGCCAACUAAGUCAGACGUGAAAUCCCUCGGCUUAACCGGGGAACUGCGUCUGAUACUGGAUGGCUUGAAUCCGGGAGAGGGAUGCGGAAUUCCAGGUGUAGCGGUGAAAUGCGUAGAUAUCUGGAGGAACACCGGUGGCGAAGGCGGCAUCCUGGACCGACACUGACACUGAGGAGCGAAAGCCAGGGGAGCAAACGGG
rnacentral:rRNA from 1 species